CUUGAAACUGUAACUCUCGUUCAGGAGUUGGGGAAAAUAAAGAUAGGGGUGUGUGCGCGUGUGCGUGUGUGUUUUCUACCAGACUGGAAUAAUAUAACAGAUAAAAGGAUGGAAGUUAGCAAAGAAGAAUUUAACUGAAGGAGAAGUGUUACGUAGGAAAAAUCACGAGACUGCAGUUGGAAAACUAGGUUGGAGCUCCUCGUGGAAGAGUUUGCAUGACAAACUACAAAGCAGGGAGCCACUGAAGCUACUUUGGAAUACGGGAAUUCACCUGUUUUUUACGUACUCAGCUGCCGUGCAUUGAGCCCUUCCCACAAGCCAGCCGUUUGCUAAGUGCUGUGGAUCAGCAAAGCUAAAAUUCACUUGGAUCCUGACUUCAAGCAGCUUAGCGUCUAGCAGUUGAUAUUAGAUAUGUAUAUAAGUAACCAUAACACAAAAUAGAAAGUGGUGUAUCGUGUGAAGUAAAAACUGGGAAGCAAGAGGGAUUGCUUCCUGCAGGGGAUGAGAGCAAAACGUAAUAGAAGAUUUUCAGGUGAAGGGAAGGUUGAUCUUGGCAGUAAGGAUGUAUUGAAGACUUGAGCAAGAGAAGCCACUUAGAAGCUACCAAGGUUUUUUGUAUAUCAUCUUAUAUUGAACAUAUGCAAUUUUAUAAUGUAACAAUUUAGAUUGCUUAUAUGUAUGGAAUAAUACGUAGAAUGCAUGUGGAUAAACAAAUUGUGGUGUAUUCAUACAAUGGAAUACCAAUUUAUGGCCAUAAAAAGGAACAAACUACUGACUCGUGCAACAACGUGGAUGAAUGUUCCCCCACGUUAUCGUGAGUAAGAGAAACUGGAGGCGAAAGAGGAAAGCCUGAGAUGAAUGUCAUCUGUCUGAAUGCAACAUGGAAACUUCAGUGAAUGUGUUAGAACAGAACUCGUAUGAGAGCAUCAGCCAGAAACACAAUGGAUUAGUGUUCUGUUUCAUUCCCAUGGAUGUCAUGCACAGCACCCCUCUUCAUCUCACAUUCCUGGGGAUGCUGGCUUCUCUAACAAGAGGCUGAGUUUCCCUGGGUUUCUGUAAGGACCUGAACACCUCCAGUAGCAAUCCGUGCCCUUUGCUUGUGACUCCAGAGCUCCCAGAUAGAAGUGGUUGGAUGGAGCCAGGAACAGCAGAGAACUCCGGCCGAGGGGUGACCCACCAGCAUCGUUCCACCAGCCUCCAGCGAUGGUGGGUGUGGACUUGAACUUCCAACUUCAGUCUAGGCCAAGGGGAGGGCAGUGAGAGGUUCGCAUACCCAUCAUCCCUUCCAUGCCCAUAAAGGUUCCUAAAAUAUCAUUCGUUAGCCCCAAACUGUAUGAGACCCUCCCUCCUAGUGUUCCCCUGUGCAACUGUCACAACAUGAUUAAUCUAAUUUGCAGUAUUAUUUGUUUGCUUGUCUUAUCUCCCUGCUCUCUACAUUCUUAUGUUAUGUAAGUACCUUGAGGUCAGGGACAUCUCUAGAUGAUCUUUGUACAAGUCAUUACAUGAAGAAAAUGCUCAAUAAAUAUUUGUGUUU
rnacentral:lncRNA from 1 species